rnacentral:sRNA from 1 species
ACACAUUUUACAUAAAACAAUUACAUAGGUAGUACGGUAGUCGGAUAGAUCGGAGAUAGAUUGGAGGUGGAUGGAUAGUAGUUUACAUAGUCAUAGUGUACAUAAAAAUCACAAAAACAUAAAAUAGAGAAACAGAAAAAUCAAACAUUAAAGUAAAGAGUGUAUAUACAUGCAAUAGGAAGGGAGGAAUCAGGGCACACGGUUGCCACACAGAAGUAUUAUAGAACACAUAGAUGGGACGCAUGUAUUGAAAACAAGUGAGAAUCAACGAGGAGAAUGCGAGAGAGUAGGCUCUGGACACGACAAGCAAGAGAGUACCUUCGGAAGUAAAUCUGAAGAAUAUAAAUAUGAGAGCUACGGGAGAAUCAACAGGAAUCAUAAUGAGAGCGUACGUUUUCGUCGUUGGUUGAACGGGUUGUACUGGCGUUUCUUAUAGGAAAUUCAUCCUCCAGGUGUUCUAUAAUCUUUGGAUAUUAUCUAUCUCAUCAUUUUCAUAUGGCAACCGUGAUUAAAAGAGUGCAUCCCAACUGGUGGAAUCUGGUAUCCACCAAUUGGCUUGCCCUCCCUUCGAAGGGGACAUCGUA